ACUUCUGAGAAUUCUUUCAUUGUUCAAGGGAUGUAAAAUGCCAACCCUUUCACUGUUAGGUUGAAUUUUUUUUCUUCUUCUUUUUCUUGCACCAAACCUAACGAAGGAUGGGGGCAUCCAAACCACUGUAUUCUAUUUGCUCUAUGCACAAGGUCAAAAUGAAGUGAUAUUUGCUUUGCCAUCAUUUCUAUUUGACAGCGUGGUUUUUAAGGGAGCCAGAAAGAGAGGCUUGUGCUCCAGUUAGGAGUCCACACAGAGGGAGCAUCAUCCCAGGAGCCGCCUUUCACUGAAUCCUGCAAGGAGUCAGAUGUGGUCAGGAGUGGGGGUUGGGAUUGGUGUUCUAGACUAGAGGGUCCAGUACUGGGAAGUUACCUAAGGUUCAAGAGGAAGAUUAUGUCUAUGAGCAAGACAUAAUCUUGCUCUUAGAUUAUGAGCAAGAUUAUAAUCUCUUCCCAGAAAAAAACAAUAGAGUGAAAAAUGACCAUUGUCUAAUGAUGUUUCUCUAUCUUUCAACAAUAAUGAAGUCUGUCAUUUAGGAAUAUCAAAUGUGACCAGCAGCAGAAUUGGGUUUGAAAGAAGCUCAUGGCAGAUGAAGAGUUGAUAGACUAAAUGUGGUGGUGGCGACGGCGCAGGUUUGCAGUGAGCAUUCCUUUGCUCUAAAGUCAGAGGAAUAGCAACAUUAGAGGAGCAGUAUUGUGGAAAAACAGUUUGGAAAAAUAAAACCUGCCAACUUUUCCUUAAGGUACUAGGGACUGCUGGUGCUUCCUGCUAAGUGGUGGCUUUGAUGGUACCUUAGAGGGGACACCCUCAAGUGUGAGUGGCCUGGUAUAAAUGUCAGCCAAGGUCCAGCUGCUUUUGUCCCGGUCUGCAACCUGUGACACCUCAUGCUGUGGACACACCAGCCCAAAGUCAGUCCAGAGUUUAGGACUUCUAGGGGCAAAACAGAAGAAUUCCAGACUGAAUUGAAUUUACCCAAAGGAAUGGUAGCAGCUGCAAGUAGGACUUUGUGGUACUGAGGAUGGAGAUCAUAUACCCCUUCUAGAGAUGGAGACCUUGCUAUUUAAUUUUACUUGAAGUAAUUGUCUACAGUAUUGUUCCUUUAGUUUUUUUUUAUCUAUUUGU